CCUGAGUAGCUGGGAUUACGGGCGCACACCACCACACCCAACUAAUUUUUCUAUUUUUAGUAGAGACGGGGUUUCACCAUUUUGGUCAGGCUGGUCUUGAACUCCUGACCUUGUGAUCCUGACCUUGUGAUCCACCCACCUCGGCAUCCCAAAGUGCUGUGAUUACAGGUGUGAGCCACCGCGCCUGGCCCUGGCGCUGUUCUUAGAGUCCAUCACAGACCUGAACUGCUGAAUGCUAUUCCUCAUGGAAACUGAGGCAUGGACAUUUCGGCAGCUCCCCCUUGGAUGUGGCCUGGAGGAGUUGGAGAAAUCAGGCCUGGGAGCAUACAGCAUGUAUUUGAUCUGAUUCAUUCAUCAGGUUCAAGUUAGGCCUUGACUUCUGGGCUUACAAAACUGGCCCUGGGGAGCAUGAGGCGUGCGGAUAUGUGCUCAGUAAGAUGGACCAGGACUGCCAGGGUACGAGGCUGGAACAGGGGGCUAAAAACACGCCUUCCUUGGGCCUGGAACCAGGUAGUGCCCUCAGAGUUUAUCUUUUGCUUAGGAAACGUUCUCGUUCCUGUUGGGCUGUCCCCCAGCACCCAAGGCCUGAGGCAUAACCCAAGUUCGUGAGCAUAGGUGUGGCCUUUGGAAAAGAGCACUAUGUCUCCAGCUCUCUCCACCUACUCUCUUCUUCCUCCAGGCUGGCCACUGGCCUCCCAAUACUGGCUCCCUGGACCCCAGGCUUUUGACUAUUGUCUAUAUAAACUCUUCUAGGUAAACAGCAGACUACCCUUAAUGUCUGCAGGGCAGGAAUAGUACAGCAGAGACCUCCGCAUGGCAUAGGAGCCCCUGGAUGAAUAUAAUUGCUCUGGCCCUCUCUGUCAGAUCAGAUGCUACCCGCCCUCCAGCCCCUUUCAUCUCUCCAUUCUGUAGAGCUGGUCCAGGGCCCCCCAACUCCCUCUAACCUGAAGUAAUUCUACUCUUGGAGCACCAGACUCUGUAAUUAUGGUAUUUUCUCAUGUAUUCUCACGUCAAAUCCUCCCAAUAAUCCUGUGAGCAUAAUUUUGGCCAUUUUACAGUCAAGGGAACUGAGAUUGCAAAGAACAGAAGAGACUUGUCCAAGAUCAGCCGUAGCAGCCAGCCCCAGAGUUCCGAGGACUUCCUGACACCAAAACCCCUUCUCUAUAUCCAGGGAAAGCAGCAACCACAAUCUUUUUUUUUUUUUUUUUUUUUUUUUGAGAUGGAGUCUCACUCUGUCGCCCAGGCUGGAGUGCAGUAGCGCGAUCUUGGCUCCCUGUAACCUCUACCUCCCAAGUUCACACCAUUCUCCUGCCUCAGCCUCCUGAGUAGCUGGGACUACAGGCACCCGCCACCAUGCCUGGCUAAUUUUUUUGUAUUUUUAAUAGAGACAGGGUUUCACCAUGUUAGCCAGGAUGGUCUCAAUCUCCUGACCUCGUGAUCCGCCUGCCUUGGCCUCCCAAAGUGCUGGGAUUACAGGCGUGAGCUACCGCGCCUGGCCAGCGACCACAAUCUUUAAGAGGCUGACCUUCAAACUUUUGCAGAACCUGGAGUGAGCAUUACCAAACCUAAGACUGUGACACUCCAUAGUGACAAGUCUGGAAGCUGUGGAAGAUACUUUGGGGAAGAGGAAAGUGGGAGAGGCUUUCCCCUAUCCCCUGCCCACUUCCAGGAUAUAGCCUAUGUUUUUGUGCUCUUUUCUAAAUGCAGAGAAAACCCUGAGGGCUUCUUGAAUGGUGUGAGAAGUGAUGGUGGUUCUUGAUGCUGGCAACCACCAGCCAGAAAGAGACCACUAGAGGUGGCCACCUGGGGCCAACCUCCCCAGACCCAGUUGUGGAGCAGUAUCACUCAAGGAGCCUGCAGUAAAUGCAUGCACCAUCCACGCUCAGGCAGGUUUUCAAGGUGGAGGCCCCAGGGAGGUUCUGAUGGGGCCCAGAGCCGGGGUAACCCCAGAGUCCAGGGACCAGCAGGGACUGUGGAGUCUGAGAAGACUUGGCUCAUCAGGAGGUGUUAGGUAUAAAAUGGGUGCGAAUGGCACCUGCCUGUGACUGCUGCAAGGGUUACAUGAGCUGAGGGGUUCAGGAUCCAUCUGUCAAUAAUGCAAGUUUUCCUUUUUCCUUCCAUUGGACAGGAGGUCCCAGGCAGUGAGGAACCUCAGGUCUGGCAACAUGAGAACUGCUCGGCUCACCUGGAAAACACAACUGGUGCUGGCUUAAGAAUGCCCCAGGGAGAGCUUGUCAAGGAAGACUCUAACCAAGGGUGGGCAUGAGCCAGGGGUUGAUGGUGAUUCGCAUGGGAAUCAUCCUGGGCUGUCUCUGAGCAUCCAGCCACAGUCCCAGUCACCCUUGGAGAGGAACGUCUGCCCUGAGGCCGUGCUACUUGAAUCUGGGAGAAAUUGUGAGGAGAGUUCCUCCACUCUGGCUUCAUCAUUGCCAAUUCCCAGGCGAAGCUGCCCCAAACCACUCGCUUGUCACUUCUCUUCAGUCCAAGGGUCCCUAAUGGCUCCCUGUUGCCUCCAGAGUGGUGUCCAUACUCAGCCUGGCAUUUCUUUUUCCACCCCAGGCUGGGCACUUAAAGCUUAAGAGAGGCCCGCCCUUUCCUAUCCACACUCCCCACACCCAAAUCAGCAAGACCAUUCCCAGAGCCAUGCUGUGCCCUCUCUGCUUUGACCUUCCAUCUUCCUUCCAAACCCACCUCAAGUUCCAAAGCCAAGCAAAACUACUACUCUCCUCUCGUGAUCUCCAUAGCCCUGAUUCUCUGAAAGACAUCGUUAUGCUGAAGAGCCUAUAGGCAGUGGCUAUAUUUCCAGCUGGAGAGUAGGGACUUCAACUCAGCCAGGCUAUGGCUUCCAACAUCUCCUCAGCCCCACUCCAUUCACAGGAUGCAGCCAGGAAAUCCCUGUGUGUGUCCAGCCUUUGGGCAGUUGUCCUGAGAGUGGUAGGGAGGGGGACGUCAGCAGCCAGCCCAGAAGCCAGGGCUCUCAGGCUUGAAGGGCCUCUGGCUUCCAGCAGAACAUGCAUGGGAUGGGGUCUGAAAAACCCUCUUCAGGCCUCCAGGCUCUCUAGGCCCCAGUAAUUCAGCACCAGUCUCCCUGCACAUCUGCCCUUCUCUCCGUGCUAUGGGCAGAGCCCUUUACACUGAUGCCAGUGCCAAAUACUGAUGGUCUUUUCACUCAAAGCCUUCUGAAAGGAGGCCUAAGGAAGCCUAAUUAAGAGCCAUGGAUGCCACAAAACCGGUCAUCGAUAAAGUCCCCUUCAGGAAUAAGCAAAAAUGGAAAACAGCUCUGCAGGAAAAGGUGAGAGCCAGAAAGACCUGAGAGGGAACUCUAAGGCCAGGGAAGGCAAGGUGGCCCAGCCAGGGGACAGGGGGUGCACAUGUUGGGCGAGACAGUCGAAGCUGGGUAGCUGGCUUCUGAGCCUCAGUUUUCUCAUUUAUAAAAUGAGAAUCAAAUGGUACUUUCCAGCUCUGACCGUCUUAGAGUCUAUUUAGAACUGCCUGUCCAUUCCAGCUCUCAAGCUGUUUCUGAACCAUGCCUGUGUCAACUUUCAUUUUUCCUGGAUCCACUUCCAUCCUUGGAAGACUGGGUUUGGCCAGUCCAAGAGGACAAACAUGGAGGCAAGAAAGUGCAGAGGCCCAAGAGGUACCAUCUUUUUCUAAGGGUGAUCAUACUCUAAGGAGGAAUCAUCGGAAGUCCUGAAGCUAGAGCCACAAGCUCUUCUAAGUCCCUCCAGUCCUGAUGCCAUCUUCCUCUGCCCCUACAUUUCAGACCAUCUCCAGGGAGCCUUCUUUUGUUCAUAGGUCCAGCUACUAACCUUCUGGGCAACCUUGGACAAUUCAGCUGACCUCUGACUAUCUUCCCUCCAGAGCGUGGAAACUGGCCGCCUGCUCCUUCCCUAAACCCCCUUUCACACAUGCACGGCAUCCUAACCUCCUCCAGGAAGAACACCUUGGGAUCCCCUCAUCCCUUGGCAGUGCUCCUAGCCAGGCCCCUAGCCUGCACUCACUCACGGGCUAGAGGGAGGAGGGGCUUGUCUCUUGCUGGCUGAGAUUAGAGUAUAUGACUAUUGCUGAAAAUCUCUGCUCACCCCUACUCCAGGAUCUCCCUCCCAAGCAUUCAUAUAACUGUGAUAAGAUCAAGCCUAGUUACAGGAGCUCAGUAACAGGAAUCGACCCUCUCGCUUCCAGGCCCAAAGGGCAGAGCCCUAUCUCCAUGUAAUCUAUCUCCAGAGGUGAGUUGUAUCUUACGGCAUCUUGGUGUGAAAACAGGCACAGCCACUGGCUUUGCUGAUGUUAACAGCCCCAAUGAGCUUUGCAUCCACCGUUUUGUGGGUUUAAUUUAUUGCCAGCAAUUAGAUAUCAAAGCCAUCUUAGGAGCUGGUGUUCCAUCUGUAAAGUAAAGGGCCAGGUGGGGGCUGAUUCACAUCUGGCCAACCCAUCCUGAGCCCUGGACUCAUUCUGUCCUGGGUGGUCAGUGGCAGAACCUAGAGAAAGGUGUCUUCAAAAAUCUUGACUUCCUUGGGUCACAUAAGUGUGCCCAUAUGCUCACUUCUGUCCUGGGGAGGCUGAACAAGACCAGCACUCUCUAUAUUGUGUUCUUUUCUGCUCCUCAGAUUCUCAAAGGCUGUUUCCACUAUAAGGCCUUUGCGUUUGCUAUUCUCUUUCCUGGGAUGCCCUUCUUCUCUUUUCUUUUUUUUUUUUCCUUUUUUUCUUUUCUUUUUUUGAGACAGAGUCUCGCUGUUUCAUCCAGGCUGGAGUGCAGUGGUGUGAUCUCGGCUCACUGCAACCUCGCCUCCCAGGUUCAAGCAAUUCUCCUGCCUCAGCUUCCCAAGUAGCUGGGAUUACAGGCGCAUGCCACCACACCCGGCUAAUUUUUGUAUUUUUAGUAGAGACAGGGUUUCACCAUGUUGGCCAGGCUGGUCUUGAACUCCUGACCUCAGGUAAUCCGCCCACCUCGGCCUCCCAAAGUGCUGGGAUUACAGGCAAGAGACACCAUGCCCAGCCUCUCUUUUCUUAUAAUCAACUUCUUGUCAUUCAUCCUUGGCUGAGUGUCCCCUUCUCAGAGAUACUCCCCACCCCCCAACCCUUCUGUCCCUGUCUGUCACUCCACUGUUUGGCUGUAGGUUCCAUCAUUGUAGAAGGAGUCCUGUCUGCUUAACUUGGCUCAGCCAACAGCACAGAGACACCUGCCCACAGGAGGCACACUGGGCCAGUCCAUCCCCUCACCAGCUGGUACAAAGGGAGCCACAGUCUCUGGCUCCCUUCCUGAUCCUGUAAGGAGGGGUUCUCUGGACCUGCCUAAUGGCACUGGGCAGAGCCUCCCCUGCUUCACCUGUCUUUCAUAGCAGCCCUGGCGAGUCCCACUGCACAGCCUACUAGGGCCUGGCCUGGCAGGAACCUUCAGAGAGAGAGAGAGAGGCCUCAAGGGCAGGUGGGUGGCUCAGUUAGACAGGAGCUCUGACUGCAGCUUCUCCCAGGAAGUCAGCCUCCUUUCUAAAGGCUUUAACCUGUGACUCAAUACUUCCUUAAACACCAUCAUGCCCCACACGGUCUCAUAUGUGACGUGAAUUUUUUCAGGACCUAUGACAUGCUGGGAGCUCAGCAAACUGUCAUGCCUUACCUCUCCCAGUCUCACAGUCUGGGGGGCAGGCAUUGCUAUCCAUAUGUUCUAAUGAGGAAAUGGGCUCAGAGAGAUUAAGAGAGUUGUCCAAGGUCACAGAGUGGAGUCAGAAGGGGAUCCCAAGCUGUGUGACUCAGACCCAACAUCUGUCUCCUCUGCAGGGAAGCACUCUGACUUUAAAGCAUCCUGAGAGGUGCCAGGCACUCCUUGCCCAAGUUCAGGGACCAGAGGCCAUAGAAGGUCACCAGGCUGGGAAGCAGCAGAACAUCUCAGGCGUGUUUGCCUGUCCCCUGCCUUCCAGCAUCUCUGCACCCUCCCCCACGCCCUGAAGGAAGUGGGGGUGGAGGAGAGAGCGCUGCAGGCAGCAGAUGAGCUCUUGGAAAACUGGGAGGUUUCUCAAGAUAGGAGCUGGGAGAGAAAUGCCACAGUUAGGGCCCUCCUUGAAGCUACCCACAAGGGCUCCGGAGGGGUGAGAGUGCUCUCUUACUGGAGUAGUCAAAAGACAGUCUUGCAGCAUGCCGCCCCCUCCCCUCCUCGAUAUUCUCACUGCCAAAUGAAAUCUGGCAGUUUCUGAAAAUAGCUCAGCGCUGCAGCAGGCACUCUGCCCGCCCUUCAGCAGGCUGGCACACAGCUGGGGGUGGCCACUCUGGGCAGAUGCUGGCACACACAGGACCGGGGGUAGGUGUCACACACACUGCACAGGGGCAGCACAGAGCUGGGGGCAUGUGGCAGCUGCCAUCCCUCAGCUCUUCUGACCUUUCUAGGCCUGGCGAGGACUCUGGCCUUGGAGUUAGCAUGGCAUGCUUAUCAGGCCUGAGGCACCCCCUCCAGCUGGGGUGAAAUCACUAGUGGGUCUGAGAAGCUGCCCUUGGGCCACCUUUGUCCACCCCUGUAGACAAAGAGUAAACCCAGGAGCCAAGAGAAAAUGAUGAAAUGGUGUUUAUUACUAUCUGGAUGUAAAACCCAGCAGUGUUGUCCUAUCUGACAUGGUCUAGGGUUUCCCAGCCAGUGAGAGAGGGGCCAGGAAGGAACUAGGCUGCGUGUCAGGCACUUGUCAGGCAGUAUCAGGCACUCAGCACCCUAAGGCUACCAUGGUGGGGUGGGGCUGGUAAGCUCUGAUCAGCCAGGAAAGGCCCUCUCUGCCCUACUCAGGUCCUUGAUCUUCACCUGGUCGUAGU
rnacentral:lncRNA from 1 species